rnacentral:lncRNA from 1 species
UAUGUUCCUUGAAAAUAAAAAUAAUCAAGCAUUGCAUUUCAUGCAUCAUUUGCAUACAAGUCUUCUUUCGCCAGAUGUCCUAUUGGUUCUUCUUCUGUGCUUCAGCCAAGCUAACUCAUCGAUACAAUACUCGCGCCAAUAAUUCGCGAAUCAUGGAACAUCUAGAGCAAGAGAACAUAGACUUGAAGGAAGAUAUCGCCCGUUUGACUGCCAUGAUGGAGUCAGUCCUAGCUGCUCAAAGUCAACCUUCUCCAAAGCCUGCAACU